GACGGUACUUGAUGAAUAAGCCACGGCUAAUUCCGUGCCAGCAGCCGCGGUAAUACGGGAGUGGCAAGCGUUAUCCGGAAUUAUUGGGCGUAAAGCGUCCGCAGGCGGUCUUGUAAGUCUGUCGUUAAAGCGUGGAGCUUAACUCCAUUUCAGCGAUGGAAACUGUAAGACUAGAGUGUGGUAGGGGCAGAGGGAAUUCCCGGUGUAGCGGUGAAAUGCGUAGAUAUCGGGAAGAACACCAGUGGCGAAGGCGCUCUGCUGGGCCAUAACUGACGCUCAUGGACGAAAGCCAGGGGAGCGAAAGGGAUUAGAUACCCCCGUAGUCCUGGCCGUAAACGAUGAACACUAGGUGUCGGGGGAAUCGACCCCCUCGGUGUCGUAGCCAACGCGUUAAGUGUUCCGCCUGGGAGUACGCACGCAAGUGUGAAACUCAAAGGAAUUGACGGGGGCCCGCACAAGCGGUGGAGUAUGUGGUUUAAUUCGAUGCAACGCGAAGAACCUUACCAGGGUUUGACAUCCUGCGAAUCUCUUGGAAACGAGAGAGUGCCUUCGGGAACGCAGUGACAGGUGGUGCAUGGCUGUCGUCAGCUCGUGUCGUGAGAUGUUGGGUUAAGUCCCGCAACGAGCGCAACCCACGUCGUUAGUUGCCAGCAUUUAGUUGGGCACUCUAGCGAGACCGCCGGCGAUAAACCGGAGGAAGGCGUGGAUGACGUCAAGUCAUCAUGCCCCUUACAUCCUGGGCUACACACGUACUACAAUGCUACGGACAAAGGGCAGCAAACUCGCGAGAGCUAGCAAAUCCCAUAAACCGUGGCUCAGUUCAGAUCGUAGGCUGCAACUCGCCUACGUGAAGGAGGAAUCGCUAGUAAUCGCAGGUCAGCAUACUGCGGUGAAUACGUUCCCGGGCCUUGUACACACCGCCCGUCACACCAUGGAAGUUGGCCACGCCCGAAGCCGUUACUCCAACCCUUGUGGAGGAGGAUGU
rnacentral:rRNA from 1 species